rnacentral:rRNA from 1 species
CGCCCUAAACGAUGUCUACUAGUUGUCGGGUCUUAAUUGACUUGGUAACGCAGCUAACGCGUGAAGUAGACCGCCUGGGGAGUACGGUCGCAAGAUUAAAACUCAAAGGAAUUGACGGGGACCCGCACAAGCGGUGGAUGAUGUGGAUUAAUUCGAUGCAACGCGAAAAACCUUACCUACCCUUGACAUGUCAGGAACCUCCGAGAGAUUGGAGGGUGCCCGAAAGGGAGCCUGAACACAGGUGCUGCAUGGCUGUCGUCAGCUCGUGUCGUGAGAUGUUGGGUUAAGUCCCGCAACGAGCGCAACCCUUGUCAUUAGUUGCUACGAAAGGGCACUCUAAUGAGACUGCCGGUGACAAACCGGAGGAAGGUGGGGAUGACGUCAAGUCCUCAUGGCCCUUAUGGGUAGGGCUUCACACGUCAUACAAUGGUACAUACAGAGGGCCGCCAACCCGCGAGGGGGAGCUAAUCCCAGAAAGUGUAUCGUAGUCCGGAUCGCAGUCUGCAACUCGACUGCGUGAAGUUGGAAUCG